UACGUAGGUGGCAAGCGUUGUCCGGAAUUAUUGGGCGUAAAGCGCGCGCAGGUGGUUUCUUAAGUCUGAUGUGAAAGCCCACGGCUCAACCGUGGAGGGUCAUUGGAAACUGGGGAACUUGAGUGCAGAAGAGGAAAGUGGAAUUCCAAGUGCAGCGGUGAAAUGCGUAGAGAUUUGGAGGAACACCAGUGGCGAAGGCGACUUUCUGGCCCGACACUGACGCUCAUGUACGAAAGCGUGGGGAGCAAACAGG
rnacentral:rRNA from 1 species